UGCAUAUCGCACAUACCUGUUGUCACACGCUUCUUUUGUCCUCCCGAGAUGCCUCUGAUCAUGCCAUCACCAACCAUUGUAUCUGCGCAGAUUUCCAGACCCAAAAUCUGCACGAGAAAUGCAAGUAUGGUUAGAGAGAUGGCCUGUUUGGACAGAGCAGUAGAAUAAAUAACUUGAGUAACUCUUGCUCAUUUCUGUUCCAUUCAAAAGGGUAAUCUUGUCUAAUUCAGAAUAAGCAAGGACUUUGAUACAAAUGAAAUGCACCCCACCUUCAUGUAAACAUCAAUAUCAGGAUCUGGCUUAAUGUUGGCUUCUUUCUCCCUUCUUGAGAGUUCAGCAAGCAUGUCUGUAAAUAUGAAACUACCAUAAGAAUCACUAUACACAAUGUGAAUAAUCACCCUUUUCACUUCACAGUGCGCGUGUAACAUACCGUAACGGGUUCCGACUCCUUGGCAUCUUGCAGAGAAGGCCAGCGUCUCCCUCACCGUCAUUUCGCCGAUGUGGAGAUCGUGCUGCCCGAUGUAUGCCGAUGUCCUCUGUGGGACGAACUCAUCCAUGUCAUGCCCAUUGGAAAAACUACUAAGAAUCAAGAAGGAUGUGAAGAUGUACUACCUUGAGUGUCGAAUCCAGUUUCCCUGCCAAGGCUAGGAGCAGGCUAGUUUUCCCAGACCCAGGGGGACCAAGCAACAAUGACAUCCUGAUCGAACAAACUCCGCA